rnacentral:rRNA from 1 species
UACGGAGGAUGCGAGCGUUAUCCGGAUUUAUUGGGUUUAAAGGGUGCGUAGGCGGACUGUCAAGUCAGCGGUAAAAUUGAGAGGCUCAACCUCUUCCCGCCGUUGAAACUGGUGGUCUUGAGUGGAUGAGAAGUACGCGGAAUGCGUGGUGUAGCGGUGAAAUGCAUAGAUAUCACGCAGAACUUCGAUUGCGAAGGCAGCGUACCGGCAUCCAACUGACGCUGAGGCACGAAAGCGUGGGGAUCAAACAGG